rnacentral:sRNA from 1 species
GCUGGGUGUGCUGGCACACGCCUGUAAUCCCAGCACUUGGGAGGCUAAAGUAGGAGGAUCGCAAAUUCAAAACCAGCCUCAGCAAUUUAGUGAGGCCCUAAGCAACUUAGCAAGACCCUGCCUCAA